GACGAACGCUGGCGGCGUGCUUAACACAUGCAAGUCGUACGGUAAGGCCCUUUCGGGGGUACACGAGUGGCGAACGGGUGAGUAACACGUGAGUAACCUGCCCACAACUUUGGGAUAACGCUAGGAAACUGGUGCUAAUACUGGAUAUGUGCCCCUGCUGCAUGGUGGGGGUUGGAAAGCUCCGGCGGUUGUGGAUGGACUCGCGGCCUAUCAGCUUGUUGGUGGGGUAGUGGCCUACCAAGGCGGCGACGGGUAGCCGGCCUGAGAGGGGGACCGGCCACAUUGGGACUUGGGAACUGCCCCACCUCCUUAGGGAGGCGGAGGUGGGGAAUAUUGCACAAUGGGCGAAAGCCUGAAUCAGCAACGCCGCGUGGGGGGUUACGGCCUUCGGGUUGUAACCCCCUUUCAGCAGGGACAAAGCUUUUUUUGGCGGGACCUGCAGAAGAAGCACCGGCGAACUACGU
rnacentral:rRNA from 1 species